GGUGGACUUGCUCAGACUAGCGGGUCUGAAGUGACGUGCCAGACAAGGCAUGUUCUUCGACAACAGCUUCCUGAAGUGAUUCUGAAACCGCUUACCCACAAAGGAGUAGAACAUGGGGCUGAUGCAACAAUACAAGAACGCUAUGUUUCUGGUCACGUACAACGCAUAGUUCAGAGCUUCGACCUGAACGCACAUCGGGUUUGCUUUGUCGGCUGUGGAGAUCUGAAUGGCCUUCAGCAGGAUCACGAUGUUAUAGGGAGUCCAGCAAACGAAGAAGGUGAACAUGAUGAUGAAUAUCAGCUUCACCGAGCGCCAUUUCUCCCUCAUGCGAGUGGACAUGAUCCGCACGGUGAUGCAGGUGUAGCAGUACAUCACAAUGAAGAGGGGCAGCAGGAAGAAGAGGAGGAACUGCAUGUAGUAGCUGACCAGAUUCCACUGUUCGACGACGUCGGCGUGGUAUCCUGUCUCCUCACACAUCAGGCCCUGCUCGCUGUCCUUCCACACGCCUUUGAACACCAGCUCAUUUAGACUGGCCAGCACACUGAUGAACCAAACGAUCAACGACGCCCCGAUGGCGUACGCCCUCCUCCUGCUCUUGGCAGCGGACACCGCGUGCACCACGGCCAGGUAGCGGUCAAAGGUCAUCAGGGUGAGGAAGAGGAUGGAACUGUAGAAACCGAUCAGAUGGGCACUGCUGACCAACUUGCAAAGCACCGUGCCGAAGAUCCACUCGGAGGAAUGGUAUUUGGCCAGGAAGGGGAAGCUGGAUGCAAACAGGAUGUUAGAGGUGACCAGAUUGAUGAGGAAGAUGUUAGUGACGCUGUUGACCUUCUCAAGCUUGACGAUGAUGAACAAAACAAGCCAGUUGCCCAAGUAACUCAGGAGGAAGUUGAUGUAGUAGAAAUAAGGAAUCAUGGCCGAGCCCAAUUGGUUGACGUUUGAUGCAGAGCAGAGUUUGACGUGCUCGUUAUCCUCACAAUCUGGAUAGCUUGUGUUUUCACUGUUGUUAAGCAUAUCCCAGAUUUUUUCAUCCUCAUCAUCAUAAUUAUGCUCAUACUCCAUGGUUAUUGCUUGAACCUGUGGUAGAUUGGAAAACAUAUUUAUAAGUCUCAUAUGAUUGAAUGCUGUGCAAAUCGAUGUAUUCAUCUACAUGGGUGAUAUGUUUUCGAUACGGAAGGCUGUGCCCAUCAUGCAUAAGCUGCUCUGAAGUAGAGCUUCAAAUGACAACACAAUUAAAACACUUUUAUACUUAAAAGGUCUGGAUCAAAUAUUUUGCAGUUAAAAGAACAAAUGAUAAUAAUAAUAAUAAUAUAAUAGUUCUAAUAUAAUAUGAGAAAUAUUUAAUAUAUUAUUAAUAUAAUAAGCAAGACAAUAGCUGAGAGCUCUACAGUGACAGCUUUCAGGUAUCAAACAUAGUGUUUCGGUGACUGCAGAAAUAUAGUUAUAACAUACACUGUGCAUACAUACCUCACAUAUAACACUGUACAAAUUAAUAUAGGAUCUUUUCUAUGCCCAAAUCAUGUUUCUUACUCAUUAUUUUACUGGUUGUAAUUGCAGCUUGUCUUCUCCAUUCUUUAAAAUAAAUACGAAUGCUAAUAAUUGAUUGAUAAUAAUACAUAAUGACAUAAUGCUUGAGGUGGACGGGCCACCGUCUAGUCAUUUCAGUGUAAAGGGAGAACUUAAUUUGGCUUUUAAAAGAUUCGUCUUAAACAAAAUAACUCACCAAUGUUGAUUUCCGUAUUUCGAGGAGUGGAUGAGUGAAGAGCUGUGGGUGUUUAGCAUAGACAUGAGGGUUAACGGGAAGGCCUUAAGAGGAACUGAGAUAUCCUCCCCAUUUACAUUACGCAACUUUAAAUGGACACCUCUCGCACAUACGAUGAUUCUGGCACCAAUACUGAACAGAAGCUUGGCCUGGACUCGAUGUGUUUUACACUCAUGCUUUAUAAAGUCAAAUACUGAUAAUGAUGUAAUCUAAAGCACCGUUUGAUUAGCACUUUGCAUACAAAUACGACAGCCUACUGGUACAUGCUGACCCCAACGUGGUAAACAUAACAAGACUGUUUGGCAUUACAAUACAUUGUGAUGAUUAUCAUAAUUAAUAACCUUUACAUGGCUGGCUGGAUUUAGUUUAAGAUGUAUAUCGUAAUGAGUCUGGUGAUUUUAACUAGAGGGUACCCACAUCCACAGUGGAAAAUGGAACAAUCUUUAUAGUAGGCUAAACAGCAAUUCAAAUAUGUGACACAGCUAUAUAUGCUAUCCCUACACAGUUUAAUACUGACCUAGUUUUCCUAGUCCAAUAUAAUACAAUGGUUUGAAUCUAUAAAACAAUAUAAUCAGUAAGUCAUGCAAUUCUAAUGAUUGAAAUGAAACCGUAGUAAAACCAAAAUAAAGUAAGCUCAUGCAUUUCAGAAUAUGGUCUCAUUUUUGUUGCUUGAAGAAGACACAUUGAUCAUGCAUCAGUGGUACUUUGUUCAGACAAACAACAAUACUUCACUGUUCAUCUGAAAAGAGCAUAAAAAAUAUAUCAAAUUGACCAAAACAUGUACACAAAUACUUCAAGGGUACAUUACAAGAUUCAAAAUCGACAUUUGUGUACAUUACAAGAUUCAAAAUCCAAACAUUGGUUGGAAAGAUUAAUAAAUAAGUAUAAUACUUAAAAGAAAAAGCCAACUGGUAUCUUGGAGGUACAUUAUAUCACGCAAUCACAGAACCGUUAAUUACGUUCAUUACGUUAGGUAAACUUUUUGAAUGUCUGAAAACAUUUCUUCAUGGGAAAAACAUAAUUCCAAAGCCAACAUAGGAACAAU
rnacentral:lncRNA from 1 species